UACGUAGGUGGCAAGCGUUGUCCGGAUUUAUUGGGCUUAAAGGGUGCGUAGGUGGCUUUGUAAGUCAGCGGUGAAACUCUGGAGCUUAACUCCAGACCGGCCAUUGAUACUGCAGAGCUUGAGUUCGAACGAGGUAGGCGGAAUUGACGGUGUAGCGGUGAAAUGCAUAGAUAUCGUCAAGAACACCAAUAGCGAAGGCAGCUUACUAGAACGACACUGACACUGAGGCACGAAAGCGUGGGUAGCAAACAGG
rnacentral:rRNA from 1 species